rnacentral:rRNA from 1 species
CCUACGGGAGGCAGCAGUGGGGAAUUUUGGACAAUGGGCGCAAGCCUGAUCCAGCAAUGCCGCGUGAGUGAAGAAGGCCUUCGGGUUGUAAAGCUCUUUUGUCAGGGAAGAAACGGCUGAGGUUAAUACCUUUGGCUAAUGACGGUACCUGAAGAAUAAGCACCGGCUAACUACGUGCCAGCAGCCGCGGUAAUACGUAGGGUGCAAGCGUUAAUCGGAAUUACUGGGCGUAAAGCGUGCGCAGGCGGUUUUGUAAGUCUGACGUGAAAUCCCCGGGCUCAACCUGGGAAUUGCGUUGGAGACUGCAAGGCUGGAGUCUGGCAGAGGGGGGUAGAAUUCCACGUGUAGCAGUGAAAUGCGUAGAGAUGUGGAGGAACACCGAUGGCGAGGGCAGCCCCCUGGGUCAAGACUGACGCUCAUGCACGAAAGCGUGGGGAGCAAACAGGAUUAGAUACCCUGGUAGUCCACGCCCUAAACGAUGUCUACUAGUUGUCGGGUCUUAAUUGACUUGGUAACGCAGCUAACGCGUGAAGUAGACCGCCUGGGGAGUACGGUCGCAAGAUUAAAACUCAAAUGAAAUUGACGG